GUUUGUCAUAUUGAUCCAGAUAAAACGACGGUGGACAUUACGGAAACUAGUGCCAUAUAAGGGAGAAGUGGCUCAGCUGGUCAUUUGGCGUCAGCUAAAAAGAGGACAAAAGAAACGAACUACGGGGUUCGAGCUGAAAAGGCAUAAAGAAAGGGGUUCACACAACUGUUGAUAAAGAAAAGAGCCCCGGUUACAUUGUUGCUGACAUCUGAUUCCCAUGACAAUGCCAUUAAGACCAGGUUGUUGAUCAUACAGGGGGUGCUGAAUAUGAAGAAGACCACUACGAUUCUGACGGCCAGUUUGGUCAGCCUGUGGCUUUUGAAGGAAGAUGACUGGCUUAUCCGUUGAUGAAGUCGAAGGUAGAAGAACAACAGGCUGAAGAGAGGAACAACAAACAUCACUAGAGUCUCUACAAAGCAUGAGAAGCCAGAGCUCCACUGGAUGUCCAUAUCCCAAAAAUCAGUCCCUUUUGGCCCUUCUGUCCAAGUUUUGCCCAUCGCUGUGGAUACAGCACCUGCAGGUACCUUUGCACACUCAACAAGGUG